GCCGGGCACAGUGGUGCAUGCCUGUAAUCCCAGUAGCUCGGGAGACUGAGGCAGGAGGAUUGCAAGUUCAAAGCCAGCCUCAGCAACUCUGUGAGGCCCUAAGCAACUUAGUGAGACCCUGUUUCUA
rnacentral:sRNA from 1 species